AGAGCGAACCCCUGGCGGCAGGCCUUAAUACAUGCAAGUCGAGCGGUUCCUUCGGGAACAGCGGCGGACGGGUGAGUAACGCGUGGGAAACGUGCCCUUUGGUACGGAACCAACUGAGGGAAACUUCAGCUAAUACCGUAUGUGCCCUUCGGGGGAAAGAUUUAUCGCCAUUGGAGCGGCCCGCGUUAGAUUAGCUAGUUGGUGGGGUAAAGGCCUACCAAGGCAACGAUCUAUAGCUGGUCUGAGAGGAUGAUCAGCCACACUGGGACUGAGACACAGCCCAGACUCCUACGGGAGGCAGCAGUAGGGAAUCUUGCGCAAUGGGCGAAAGCCUGACGCAGCCAUGCCGCGUGAAUGAUGAAGGUCUUAGGAUUGUAAAAUUCUUUCACCGGGGACGAUAAUGACGGUACCCGGAGAAGAAGCCCCGGCUAACUUCGUGCCAGCAGCCGCGGUAAUACGAAGGGGGCUAGCGUUGCUCGGAAUUACUGGGCGUAAAAGGGAGCGUAGGCGGAUAGUUUAGUCAGAGGUGAAAGCCCAGGGCUCAACCUUGGAAUUGCCUUUGAUACUGGCUAUCUUGAGUAUGGAAGAGGUAUGUGGAACUCCGAGUGUAGAGGUGAAAUUUCGUAGAUAUUCGGAAGAACACCAGUGGCGAAGGCGACAUACUGGGUCCAUUACUGACGCUGAGGCUCGAAAGCGUGGGGGAGCAAACAGGGAUUAGAUACCCUGGUAGUCCACGCCGGUAAACGAUGAGUGCUAGUUGUCGGCAUGCAUGCAUGU
rnacentral:rRNA from 1 species